AGUGAACGCUGGCGGUAGGCCUAACACAUGCAAGUCGAACGGCAGCACAGUAAGAGCUUGCUCUUACGGGUGGCGAGUGGCGGACGGGUGAGGAAUACAUCGGAAUCUACUUUUUCGUGGGGGAUAACGUAGGGAAACUUACGCUAAUACCGCAUACGACCUACGGGUGAAAGCAGGGGAUCUUCGGACCUUGCGCGUUUGAAUGAGCCGAUGUCGGAUUAGCUAGUUGGCGGGGUAAAGGCCCACCAAGGCGACGAUCCGUAGAUGGUCUGAGAGGAUGAUCAGCCACACUGGAACUGAGACACGGUCCAGACUCCUACGGGAGGCAGCAGUGGGGAAUAUUGGACAAUGGGCGCAAGCCUGAUCCAGCCAUACCGCGUGGGUGAAGAAGGCCUUCGGGUUGUAAAGCCCUUUUGUUGGGAAAGAAAAGCAGCAGGUUAAUACCCCGCUGUUCUGACGGUACCCAAAGAAUAAGCACCGGCUAACUUCGUG
rnacentral:rRNA from 1 species